UCUCCGUAGGUGAACCUGCGGAGGGAUCAUUACAGAGUUCAUGCCCUAUCGGGUAGAUCUCCCACCCUAUGUUAUUAUUACUUUGUUGCUUUGGCGGGCCGUUAGGCUCCGGCCCGACUACCGGCCCCGGCUGGUAAGCGCCCGCCAGAGGACCCAAAACCCUGAAUAUUAGUGUCGUCUGAGUACUAUAUAAUAGUUAAAACCUUCAACAACGGAUCUCUUGGUUCUG
rnacentral:misc_RNA from 1 species